UACGAACCGUCCAAACGUUAUUCGGAAUUACUGGGCUUAAAGGGUUUGUAGGCGGCCUUGUAAGUGGGGUGUGAAAUCCCUCGGCUCAACCGAGGAAUAGCGCUCCAAACUACAUGGCUUGAGGGAGACAGGGGUAAGCGGAACUGGAUGGUGGAGCGGUGAAAUGCGUUGAUAUCAUCAGGAACACCGGUGGCGAAAGCGGCUUACUGGGUCUCUUCUGACGCUGAGAAACGAAAGCUAGGGUAGCGAACGGG
rnacentral:rRNA from 1 species